rnacentral:rRNA from 1 species
CAGUCGCCGCGGUAAUACGAGGGGGGCAAGCGUCGUUCGGAAUUAUUGGGCGUAAAGGGUGCGUAGGCGGCUUGACAAGUCUUGUGUGAAAUCUAUGGGCUCAACCCAUAGUCUGCACGGGAAACUGUCGGGCUUGAGAAUGGGAGAGGUGAGUGGAAUUUCCGGUGUAGCGGUGAAAUGCGUAGAUAUCGGAAGGAACACCUGUGGCGAAAGCGGCUCACUGGACCAUUUCUGACGCUGAUGCACGAAAGCUAGGGGAGCAAACAGGAUUAGAUACCCCAGUAGUCCCUGUCUCUUAUAC